rnacentral:rRNA from 1 species
GAUGAACGCUGGCGGCGUGCCUAAUACAUGCAAGUCGAACGAAACUUCUUUAUCACCGAGUGCUUGCACUCACCGAUAAAGAGUUGAGUGGCGAACGGGUGAGUAACACGUGGGCAACCUGCCCAAAAGAGGGGGAUAACACUUGGAAACAGGUGCUAAUACCGCAUAACCAUAGUUACCGCAUGGUAACUAUGUAAAAGGUGGCUAUACUACCGCUUUUGGAUGGGCCCGCGGCGCAUUAGCUAGUUGGUAGGGUAAAGGCUUACCAAGGCAAUGAUGCGUAGCCGAAUUGAGAGGUUGAUCGGACACAUUGGGACUGAGACACGGCCCAAACUCCUACGGGAGGCAGCAGUAGGGAAUCUUCCACAAUGGGCGAAAGCCUGAUGGAGCAACGCCGCGUGGGUGAAGAAGGUCUUCGGAUCGUAAAACCCUGUUGUUAGAGAAGAAAGUGCGUGAGAGUAACUGUUCACGUUUCGACGGUAUCUAACCAGAAAGCCACGGCUAACUACGUG